AAUGAACGCUGGCGGCAGGCCUAACACAUGCAAGUCGAACGGAUCCUUCGGGAUUAGUGGCGGACGGGUGAGUAACGCGUGGAAACAUACCAUUUGGUACGGAAUAGCCUCGGGAAACUGGGAGUAAUACCGUAGGUGGUCGAGAGACGAAAGAUUUAUCGCCAAAGGAUUGGCCCGCGUUGGAUUAGGUAGUUGGUGGGGUAAUGGCCUACCAAGCCGACGAUCCAUAGCUGGUUUGAGAGGAUGAUCAGCCAAACUGGGACUGAGACACGGCCCAGACUCCUACGGGAGGCAGCAGUGGGGAAUCUUAGACAAUGGGGGAAACCCUGAUCUAGCCAUGCCGCGUGAUCGAUGAAGGCCUUAGGGUUGUAAAGAUCUUUCUGGUGGGAAGAUAAUGACUGUACCACCAGAAGAAGCCCCGGCUAACUCCGUGCCAGCCGCCGCCGUAA
rnacentral:rRNA from 1 species